GAAGAAAGCAGACAGGAUUUACAGUGUUUAUCUUUUCCACAAGAUGCGAGUACAUUCCUCUCACUAAUGUUAUUGCAAACUGUGCUCAUAUUUGAAGAAGGAAAACGUCCCCCCACGAACUGCAAGAAAAGGUAAACAUCAAUGUUUAGAGUCUGUAGUUAGCUCUCCGCCGCCCACAGUUCUUCCUGCUCAGGAGCAGCGUGGUACAAUGAAGCACUCAAGAGUCCCCUCAUCUCCCCCCACUCAGGAGCACACUGAAGGCUGGUGGAAAUUCAUUUUGGGGAGAGUUCCCCUAUACCAGGCACCUGGGUUCCAUGCAGCACACUUUGAGAAAUGCUGAGUAUGAAUGAGAGAGUGAAGUUCAAGGUGUGAAGAAAAUUGUGCAUUUCUGUAGCUUGGUCCUGAACCUAAUGGCUGCAAUGAGCUUUGACAAGUCAGGAUCCCAUCCCUGAGACUCCUUAGGCCCCUCUGGACUUCCUUCUCAGACUUUCCUUGUUUUCCUGAUGACCUUGACACUUGUGAAGAGUACUUGUCAGGCAUUUAGUGGAUUAACCCUCAAUUAAAAAAAAAAAAAAGCCUUUCUCAUGAUUAGACUGAUUUUGGGGGGCAGGGAAAAUCACAGAAGUAAAGUGCUCUUCUUGGUACAGCAUGCCAAGGGUGCAUACUCUGAGUAUGACCUUCUGGAAUGGUUAAUUUGAAUUGUUAACUUGAUUGUAUUAAGAGAUGCCAAUGAUUAAGACACUUAUGGGUGGGGGUGUGUCUAGGAAUGAUUGGCAUGUGGGACAGCCAACUGAAGUAGAGACCCUCCCUAAGCGUGGGAUGACUGCUUGGAAGAACAAGGAAGCAGGAGCAGAUGCAAGCUUCACUCUUCUUGAACUGGUUCCUGAUUGCUGCUGCAAUUGGCCCACGCUGCCAGUGAUUCUCCAGGGAGUUUCCAGAAGCCUUCAGUCUCAGACCAGGGUAGCGUGGUUGAUCCCUC